GAUGAACGCUGGCGGCGUGCCUAAUACAUGCAAGUCGAGCGAACGGACGAGAAGCUUGCUUCUCUGAUGUUAGCGGCGGACGGGUGAGUAACACGUGGAUAACCUACCUAUAAGACUGGGAUAACUUCGGGAAUCCGUAGCUAAUACCGGAUAAUAUUUUGAACCGCAUGGUUCAAAAGUGAAAGACGGUCUUGCUGUCACUUAUAGAUGGAUCCGCGCUGCAUUAGCUAGUUGGUAAGGUAACGGCUUACCAAGGCAACGAUGCAUAGCCGACCUGAGAGGGUGAUCGGCCACACUGGAACUGAGACACGGUCCAGACUCCUACGGGAGGCAGCAGUAGGGAAUCUUCCGCAAUGGGCGAAAGCCUGACGGAGCAACGCCGCGUGAGUGAUGAAGGUCUUCGGAUCGUAAAACUCUGUUAUUAGGGAAGAACAGAUGUGUAAGUAACUGUGCACAUCUUGACGGUACCUAAUCAGAAAGCCACGGCUAACUACGUG
rnacentral:rRNA from 1 species